rnacentral:lncRNA from 1 species
AUCUUUCUUCAUAGCCGUAUGUAAACAAAAGAAAAAAAGAAGAAAGAAAACAAGUUAAGGUUCGGCCAUUUUUUUUAAGCUUGAUUCAAGGUGAGUUUUAGUUCGGUUUUUGAUAAUUUUUACGUUUUUGAGAUCGUUGCUUUAAAUACUUCAAAACCCAUGUUUUAAUUUUGUGAAUGGUUGAUGAUUUUGAAAUGUGCCAUUGAUGAAUGCUUGAGUUUUAUGAUGUUAGUCGGUGAAAUAUGAAAUAUAUGUGUUAGAUUAAUAAGUUUUGUCUUUGAAUUUUUGGAGAAUUUGAGUAAUUAGGGCUAAAUUGUGAAAAUAAAAUUUUGAGGCACUAAAAUGUGAAAUAAAUGAAAUGUAAGAACUUGUAUGAAGAAAAGGAACAUUCGGCCCUUGCAUGGUGUGUGCAAAUUUUGUGUAUUUUGUGUUUUAUGCACUAGGGACUAAAUUGCAAAAAGUGUAAAAUGUCAGAGGCAAAAUGGUAAUUUGCCCAUUUAUGUGUUUUUGGACUAAAUUGAAUGUAAUUAUAUUUAAAUUAGUUUAUUUUGAAUACAUUUAGAUCAAGAACCAAAGAAAUCGGAGUUGGAUCGAGGAAAAACCAAAGUCGUCGAUUAAUCGUCCUGUUUCGAUUUUCAUCAUCUGAGGUAAGUCUUUAAGCAAAUAAAUGUCGUUAAAUUAAAAUUUAUAUGAAUUUUAUAUGCUGAAUUUAUUUGUAGAAAUUUUCAUAUGUUAGCCGAAUGUGAAAUGGUUGUGAAAUUUGAGCAAAAGUUUGAUCUAUUUGAGAUACUAUGUUUAAAAUGCUUAGUUUACAUCUUAAAGAUUUAUUAGUACUUCCUAUAUAGAUAUGAAUUAUGUGUAAGAUCAAUUUUGUAUCAGUGAUAAUCGGGCUUUAUGCCUAGCAAGCUUUAUGCCGGUGAAUUAUAUCAGGCUUUACGCCUAGUAGGCUUAAUGUCGGUGUACCAUAACAGGCUUUACGCCUAGCAGGCUUCGUGCCGGUGUAUCAUAUUAAGAUUUUUGCUUAGUAGGCUUUACGCCGAAGUGAUAUCAAGUGAGAUUAAUGAACUAAAAUGAUCAGGUACGUGAUGUUUACUUAGCUAUUCGAAAAAUUUGGUAAGUAGAUUGGUUAGUUAUCGCAAAAAUGAUAUAUAAAGCUAACAUAAGUAUAUGUGUAUAUGAAAGGUGAGUUCGGCCCUAUGUUAAUUGGAUGCAAAUGAUUGGAAGCCUUAGUAUAAUCAAGUAGUCAUGACAAAAAUGAUUUGAGAUAUAUGAAUGUAUUAGUGAUGUAUAAACAUGUGUAUAUUUGAUCUUGAUAUAUUGCCUAUUUAAUGAUAUAUUACAUAAGUAUUUGCUUAAGACUUUCUAAGCUAAGUUAGCUUACUUUGUGUAUCUAUUUGUCGUUGUUUUAUAGAUUUUGGAGGUCGUUACAUGCUCGGGGAUCAUCAGUGAAGUCAUUCACACUGUCGACUACUUUCGGUAUUUUAAAAAAAAAAUCAUUUUGAACUUAUGGCAUGUAUAGGCUAGUAUAUAUUAUAUAUGUACAUUUGGUAUGUAUUAUGUUCGAAUGUUAUGAUGCAAACCGAAUGGUGAGUGUAUAUGAAAUGUGG